GAUGAACGCUGGCGGCGUGCCUAAUACAUGCAAGUCGAGCGAACAGACGAGGAGCUUGCUCCUCUGACGUUAGCGGCGGACGGGUGAGUAACAAGUGGAUAACCUACCUAUAUGACUGGGAUAACUUCGUGAAACAGGAGCUAAUACUGGAUCAUAUAUUCAACCGCAUGGUGCAAUAGUUAAAGACGGUUUUGCCGACACAUAUAGCUGGAUCCGCGUCGGAUUAGCUAGUUGGUAAGGUAACGGCUUACCAAGGCAACGAUGCGUAGCUGACCUGAGAGGAUGAUCAGCCACACUGGAACUGAGACACGGUCCAGACUCCUACGGGAGGCAGCAGUAGGGAAUAUUCCGCAAUGGGCGAAAGCCUGACGGAGCAACGCCGCGUGAGUGAUGAAGGUCUUCGGAUCGUAAAGCUCUUUUAUUAGGGAAGAACAGAUGUGUAAUAAACUAUGCCCGUCUUGACGGUACCUAAACAGAAAGCCACGGCUAACUACGUG
rnacentral:rRNA from 1 species